UACAGAGGGUGCAAGCGUUAAUCGGGUUUACUGGGCGUAAAGCGUGCGUAGGCGGUUCAUUAAGUCGGUUGUGAAAUCCCUGGGCUUAACCUGGGAACUGCAGUCGAUACUGGUGGACUAGAGUACGGUAGAGGGUGGCGGAACUCCGGGUGUAGCGGUGAAAUGCGUAGAUAUCAGGAGGAACACCGGUGGCGAAGGCGGAUCUCUGGGCCUUACCUGACGCUCAGGUGCGGAAGCUAGGGGAGCGAACAGG
rnacentral:rRNA from 1 species